rnacentral:rRNA from 1 species
UGGGGAAUCUUGGACAAUGGGGGCAACCCUGAUCCAGCGACGCCGCGUGGGUGGUAAGGCCUUCGGGUUGUAAAGCCCUUUCAGCGGGGAAGAUGAUGACAUUACCCGCAGAAGAAGCGCCGGCUAACUCCGUGCCAGCAGCCGCGGUAAGACGGAGGGCGCUAGCGUUGUUCGGAAUCACUGGGCGUAAAGCGCGCGCAGGUGGCCCGUUAAGUCGGCUGUGAAAUCCCCUGGCUCAACCAGGGAAGUGCAGUCGAUACUGGCGGGCUCGAGUCCCGGAGAGGGUGGUAGAAUUCCCAGUGUAGAGGUGAAAUUCGUAGAUAUUGGGAGGAAUACCGGUGGCGAAGGCGACCGCCUGGACGGGUACUGACACUGAGGCGCGAAAGCGUGGGGAGCAAACAGGAUUAGAUACCCCCGUAGUCC